ensembl:lncRNA
GGUGGGGUCCUUGAGAAGAUCCGUAGACGUAACAUCUCCGUUACCGAGUAACGGAGCGGCAGAGAUGCACUCGUUACGUGAGAGUCAAACAUAGCGCAAUCCAGAGGAACAGGUUAAAAUCCACAGGACAUUCUCAAACGACCAAAAUACAUCCACCGAGGCUCUGGACGGAAUUUUCAGUACACUCACACCAGCAACAAAAACAUCCGCUCCUUCUGGUCCACUGGGCCCCGCCCCCUUCCUCGCACAGCCCGUACGGAUGCGGUACCUGGGAUACGAUCAAUCCCCACCUAUAUGGUGGUAUAGAUCGCAAAGUGGAGGGACGGAGACAGUCUUCAGCCGCAUCUGCCCUAUGCAGCCAUGUGUGUGCAUAAUGGAUGCACAUCAGGGCAACUAUAAAACAAAAGACCAUCUCCCAGACAGAGGAGCCCGGGCCAUACACACAGUGUGAGGUGCAGUGUUUGUUCUGUGGUCAAGCGAUUGACGUUGCCAGCAUCCAAGACACAUUGAUGACUGUGAAAUUUCACAUCAACCAUCAACCUCUGCUGCCCAGACCUCUGCCCAGUCCUCUGCUGCCCAGACCUCUGCUGCCCAGUCCUCUGCUGCCCUGACCUCUGCCUCGACCUCAGCUGCCUCGACCUCGUCCACUGGCAGAGUGUCAGAGAUUUUCAAUGAAG